GUUGCUUGUUGUGAAUAUUAUUAUAAUUUUUUUUAGAUGCAAACUCAACAAGACGUUUAAAUGUUUCCAUCGGUUAAAUAACCUUCCAAAUGGCUGUUCUUACAACCUAGUACCAAGCAAUUGCAAUCACAUUGGGAGGACCCAAGGACGAACUGUGCACACUGCCCAGUAAAAAAUUCAACAUUUUCCACAGCAACCUCGCCUCACGUGAGAAUGACAGCAGCAAAGUGUCUACAUGUGCAGUAUAUACUGUGGGCAUCCUGGUUUACUGAAGAAUGCCUACUGCAUCACACCACCCACUUCUCAUAUCUUGGGAUGCGUAGGCUUAAAAGUUCAUGCUUUUGUCUCCUGCCUCUGCUGUCACACAGCCUGACACAACAGGCAAAGGGGGCAGAAGACAGGUUUCGCAUCCGUGAUUAUGGCAUUGAGGCUCUCUGUCACUAGUCAUAUAAGGACAACAUCUCUCACCGCAGCCUCACAGGAAAUGGCCUCCCCUGACGUGUGAAAGUGAAGAAAGACUUGUCAACUGACAGAGGUUGGAAAGAAACUUGCUAAUUUAGUGGUUUUACAGCCUCGAUACUGCCUCACUUAUUUGUUAGCUGAGGCUUGUUCAUUGGACAUGGUGGCCUUGUUACAGAUCCACCUGUGACCAGAAACGUCCACUGAUUUUCCCUUCUCACCCCAGUACCAUCCAUCUCUAGCUAGUAGCUGUGAAAUCGCCUUAACAUACUCCACUAUCAAUUUAGGAGUCUACAAUCUCACCAUGUUCCACCUGCAGAUCGAUGUGCCUCAGAGUGGAGACUGACAUUCACAACGGCAGAUGUACAGUGCAAAAGUUGUCCAUGCUACGUCAGUGGGCCACGCGUCCGAUUCUGGGACAAGGAGCGCUCUCCUUCAAGGAGUGACUGGGAGUCUUUUGGGCUCCAGUAAAAAAAAAUGAAUUGGCACGACUGGCUCAUUUGAGAGAAGACGUCCUCCUGAAUUUUGAAAUCUGACAUGUAUGAUAGAUGUUUUCGAAAUCUAAAAGUCAUAUUCCUAUUAACUUCCAGUGUAGUGAGACUUUAUCACUGCUACGUCAUACCAGAUGGAUUUCUGCCUGCUUGAACGCCAUCAACUCUGAUGCAUAUGAAAACAUGAAAUGAUCCAGGGAAUCGAUAGAACAUCACUCGGGUCACAAAUAUCAAAUUGUAUUUGUCACAUGCGCCGAAUACAACAGGUGUAGACCUUAGAGUGAAAUGCUUACUUACAAGCCCCUAACCAACAGUGCUGUUAAAAAAAAAAAAAAAAAUGUACAGAUAACAAAUAAUAGUAACAAGUAAUUAAAGAGCAAUAGCGAGACAAUAUACAGGGGGGGGGUACCGGUUAGUUGAGAUAAUAUGUACAUGUAGGUAGAGCUAUUAAAGUGACUAUGCAUAGAAAAUAACAACAGAGAGUAGCAGCGGUGUAAAAGAGGGGGG
rnacentral:lncRNA from 1 species